UAUCGUUGCAAGAAAUAAGUCUUAUCAAUUAAGGAGAGGGAUCAUUCUUUCAGCGUUCCCCAAGCAACCAGGAUGAAGGCCGUCAUAGCACUUGUUUUACUGACUACCGUAGCCACACAGGCUUUUCUGUUCAACAGAUGUAGUACAGACACUGAUUGUAACAAUGGCUGCUGUCAACGCAGUUUCUUCAGCAGUCGAUGUGUGGCUAAAAGCCAGUAUUUACAGUCAUGCUCAACUACAUCAUGUGGCUGUGCUGCAGGUUUGACUUGCGUAAACGAAGCAGAAGUUACCAGUGUUGCUAUCGAGACCAAUCCAGGAGGAAAUGGCAUGGUCUGUGAACGAACCGGUGCUACAGCUGCCCCAGCUUCCACUCCAUCUGCUUAAUAUAAUCAUCAUUAGCGGAUUAAACUGUUUUAAAUAUUA